rnacentral:rRNA from 1 species
CCUACGGGAGGCAGCAGUGGGGAAUAUUGGACAAUGGGGGGAACCCUGAUCCAGCGACGCCGCGUGAGGGAAGAAGGAUUUCGGUAUGUAAAGCUCUAUCAGCAGGGAAGAAAAAGACGGUACCGGACUAAGAAGCCUGGCGAACUACGUGCAAGCAGCCGAGGUAAGACGUAGGGGGAAAGCGUGAUCCGGAUUUACUGGGUGUAAAGGGAGCGUAGACGGUGCAGCAAGUCUGAUGUGAAAGGGCGGGGCCCAACCCCGGGACUGCAUUGGAAACUGUUGAACUGGAGUACAGGAGCGGUAAGCGGAAUUCCUAGUGUAGCGGUGAAAUGCGUAGAUAUUAGGAGGAAAACCAGUGGCGAAGGCGGCUGACUGGACUGUAACUGACGUUGAGGCUCGAAAGCGUGGGGAGCAAACAGGAUUAGAUACCCCGGUAGUC